AGAGUUUGAUCCUGGCUCAGAUUGAACGCUGGCGGCAUGCCUAACACAUGCAAGUCGAACGGCAGCACAGGUAGCAAUACCGGGUGGCGAGUGGCGGACGGGUGAGUAAGGCAUCGGGAUCUACCCUGACGUGGGGGAUAACCUCGGGAAACCGGGACUAAUACCGCAUACGUCCUACGGGAGAAAGCGGGGGACCUUCGGGCCUCGCGCGGCAGGACGAACCGAUGUGCGAUUAGCUAGUUGGCGGGGUAGUGGCCCACCAAGGCGACGAUCGCUAGCUGGUCUGAGAGGAUGAUCAGCCACACUGGGACUGAGACACGGCCCAGACUCCUACGGGAGGCAGCAGUGGGGAAUAUUGGACAAUGGGCGCAAGCCUGAUCCAGCAAUGCCGCGUGUGUGAAGAAGGCCUUCGGGUUGUAAAGCACUUUUAUCAGGAGCGAAAUACCACGGG
rnacentral:rRNA from 1 species